rnacentral:rRNA from 1 species
AUUGAACGCUGGCGGAAUGCUUUACACAUGCAAGUCGAACGGCAGCACGGACUUCGGUCUGGUGGCGAGUGGCGAACGGGUGAGUAAUGUAUCGGAACGUGCCCAGUCGUGGGGGAUAACGUAGUGAAAAUUACGCUAAUACCGCAUACGAUCUAUGGAUGAAAGCGGGGGAUCGCAAGACCUCGCGCGAUUGGAGCGGCCGAUAUCAGAUUAGGGAGUUGGUGGGGUAAAGGCCCACCAAGCCAACGAUCUGUAGCUGGUCUGAGAGGACGACCAGCCACACUGGAACUGAGGCACGGUCCAGACUCCUACGGGAGGCAGCAGUGGGGAAUUUUGGACAAUGGGCGAAAGCCUGAUCCAGCCAUUCCGCGUGCAGGAUGAAGGCCCUCGGGUUGUAAACUGCUUUUGUACAGAACGAAAAGGUUUCUACUAAUACUAGGAGCUCAUGACGGUACUGUAAGAAUAAGCACCGGCUAACUACGUGCAAGCCGCCGCGGUAA